UAAAGGAAAUGAGACCAAAAAAAGAAAGUGGGACACUACUACUAAUGGGACGGAGGGAGUAUUUUUUUUUUUUACUUGGAGUAGUUAGGGAGGGGGAGUAGUGGGGUUUGAACUCGGGACCUCACUGUUCACACACAGGAGGUCACACCACUUGGUGUCCCCUUGGGGACAGGAGUAUUUGUUUUUAUUUAUAAAGAGAAUCUAGAGAGUAAAAUGGGAGUAAUUAAUAAAAGGGUAGCCCCUGUUAAAAUAUAUACAUAUGUACAUAUUUACCCCUAUGAUGCCAUUUUAAAAUUUUACAAUUACUAUUUUCAAAA
rnacentral:lncRNA from 1 species